UGGUCAUAUAAACCUAUGUAAACAGGAAAAACGUGGAAGAGUUUGGUCGCAUCUAACUACAGCCCCAAAAAAUACCAUUGGCCAUACUGAGCCUAGCUACAUUGCUAACAGGAGUGACAGCGCGUCUGACUGACUGGGAGGUCGCGCAAAGCUCGGAGAGUAGCUCUUCUGUGGGACUGAACCAGAUGAGCUAGCUCCCAUGUCCCACGCAACGAGCCUUGGCUGCCAAUGACCCUGUUGCCGGUUCACCGGUUGUCCUUUGGAUCCAUGGACCACUUUUGCAAGCCUGUGGUGACAGUGGCAAGGAAAAACUCCCUCAGACAACACAAGGAAGAAACCUCGAGAAGAACCAGACUCAAAAGGGAACCCAUCCUCAUUUGGGCGACAACAGACAACAUGACUAUAACAUUAACAGUUUUAACAUGAAGUCAGUUUUGUACAUUGAUAUCUACAAUGAUAUUUGUUAACAGGAGACACCGCUGUGCAAAACCAUAAGCAUCACCAUGCAACUAGUCAGUAAAGUAUCGGAAUUAGCAUAAGUAAAGCAACUGUGCCUACAGUUUGAUUUAUUUACAUGUUUUACAAAAACAUUGCAGUAGUCUUUAUGGAUAAACAUGUCAUGUUACACAGUACACAGGCCAUGUUCUAUGAAUAGCAUUAGGUCAGUACAGGAAUAGCAAACAGAGCUGAUUUCAAAAUGCAUCAUAUGGUCUGCAA